rnacentral:rRNA from 1 species
GAUGAACGCUAGCUACAGGCUUAACACAUGCAAGUCGAGGGGCAGCAUGGGAUUAGCUUGCUAAUCCUGAUGGCGACCGGCGCACGGGUGCGUAACGCGUAUCCAACCUGCCCUCUACUCCGGAACAGCCCGUCGAAAGGCGGAUUAAUGCCGGAUGGUGUCAGAUGCCCGCAUGGGCGUGCGACUAAAGGCAACGGUAGAGGAUGGGGAUGCGACUGAUUAGCUUGUUGGCGGGGUAACGGCCCACCAAGGCUACGAUCAGUAGGGGUUCUGAGAGGAAGGUCCCCCACAUUGGAACUGAGACACGGUCCAAACUCCUACGGGAGGCAGCAGUGAGGAAUAUUGGUCAAUGGGCGAGAGCCUGAACCAGCCAAGUAGCGUGCGGGACGACGGCCCUAUGGGGUUGUAAAACCGCUUUUGAUUGGGAACAAAGAGCGCCACGUGUGGUGCGUUGCGUGUACCUUUCGAAUAAGCAUCGGCUAAUUCCGUGCCAGCAG